GAGACAAGCAGCACUGAGAAGGAGCACUGCUUGUUAGAGCUGUACACAGGAGACUCGUGUUUAGAUCGUGCUUUUGUUUUUGUUCUAUUUCUGCAGAACAGAGGGAAUGAGGAGACAUCUCUUGCACUGGGUGAACAGUUUCUCCAGGGGAAAGGAGAAGGAAAAUGCUGAGGAUGAAUUUGCAGGAACUAUAGCAUGGGACCAAAAUAUUGUCAUUGGCUGAGCUCCAGAGGCAGAAGCCAGGGCUGCUGGAAAUAGGGUCAAGGAAGAAAUGGACUCUACAGGCUGGGACUGGGAAAGCAGGGCUAACAGCUGGAACUCUUUCCCUGAAGUGCCUUCCCACCUUCUUAUUUCUGUCUGCCCUCAUUAUUUGAUUAUCACGAGAGAAAUCUAAAGAGUGUACUCAGUAAAUCCUGAAUAAAUGCUAAUAAAUGA